AUUGAACGCUGGCGGCAGGCCUAACACAUGCAAGUCGAGCGGAUGAAGGGAGCUUGCUCCUGGAUUCAGCGGCGGACGGGUGAGUAAUGCCUAGGAAUCUGCCUGGUAGUGGGGGAUAACGUCCGGAAACGGGCGCUAAUACCGCAUACGUCCUGAGGGAGAAAGUGGGGGAUCUUCGGACCUCACGCUAUCAGAUGAGCCUAGGUCGGAUUAGCUAGCUGGUGGGGUAAAGGCCUACCAAGGCGACGAUCCGUAACUGGUCUGAGAGGAUGAUCAGUCACACUGGAACUGAGACACGGUCCAGACUCCUACGGGAGGGAGCAGUGGGGAAUAUUAGACAAUAGGCGAAAGCCUGAUCCAGCCAGGCCGCGUGUGUGAAGAAGGUCUUCGGAUUGUAAAGCACUUUAAGUUGGGAGGAAGGGCAGUAAGUUAAUACCUUGCUGUUUUGACGUUACCAACAGAAUAAGCACCGGCUAACUUCGUG
rnacentral:rRNA from 1 species